rnacentral:rRNA from 1 species
UAAACCGGAGGAAGGUGGGGAUGACGUCAAGUCAUCAUGGCCCUUACGAGUAGGGCUACACACGUGCUACAAUGGCGCAUACAAAGAGAAGCGACCUCGCGAGAGCAAGCGGACCUCACAAAGUGCGUCGUAGUCUCGGAUCGGAGUCUGCAACUCGACUCCGUGAAGUCGGAAUCG